rnacentral:tRNA from 1 species
GGAGAUGUCGCAUAGUGGUCUAGUGCACUACCUUGGAAAGGUAGCAGGCUCGAAAGGGUCUCGGGAGUUCGAAUCCCCCCGCCUCCG